rnacentral:rRNA from 1 species
AACUGAAUCCAUAGGUUAAUGAGGCGAACCGGGGGAACUGAAACAUCUAAGUACCCCGAGGAAAAGAAAUCAACCGAGAUUCCCCCAGUAGCGGCGAGCGAACGGGGAGGAGCCCAGAGCCUGAAUCAGCAUGUGUGUUAGUGGAAGCGUCUGGAAAGGCGCGCGAUACAGGGUGACAGCCCCGUACACAAAAGCGCAUGUGCUGUGAGCUCGAUGAGUAGGGCGGGACACGUGGUAUCCUGUCUGAAUAUGGGGGGACCAUCCUCCAAGGCUAAAUACUCCUGACUGACCGAUAGUGAACCAGUACCGUGAGGGAAAGGCGAAAAGAACCCCGGCGAGGGGAGUGAAAAAGAACCUGAAACCGU